GAAAUCUUGUGAUUCAAAGUAUUGGCAAACGAGACAUAUAUCUGUAAAAGUGGUGUCGUGAUCUGUGUGUAAAUUGAAGAGCUGCACACAGCAGGUAGAAUGUGAGAUUACUGUAAAACAAAGGGAAAAUAAAACAUCAAUUCAC